rnacentral:rRNA from 1 species
AACGAACGCUGGCGGCAGGCUUAACGCAUGCAAGUCGAGAGCCCCGCAAGGGGAGCGGCAGACGGGUGAGUAACGCGUGGGAAUCUACCCAUCUCUACGGAAUAACGCAUGGAAACGUGUGCUAAUACCGUAUACGUCCUUCGGGAGAAAGAUUUAUCGGAGAUGGAUGAGCCCGCGUUGGAUUAGGUAGUUGGUGGGGUAAAGGCCUACCAAGGCGACGGUCCAUAGCUGGUUUGAGAGGAUGAUCAGCCACACUGGGACUGAGACACGGCCCAGACUCCUGCGGGAGGCAGCAGUGGGGAAUAUUGGACAAUGGGCGCAAGGCUGAUCCAGCCAUGCCGCGUGAGUGAUGAAGGCCCUAGGGUUGUAAAGCUCUUUCACCGGUGAAGAUAAUGACUGUAACCGGAGAAGAAGCCCCGGCUAACUUCGUGCCAGCCGCCGCCGUAAAAC